rnacentral:rRNA from 1 species
GAUGAACGCUAGCGGCAGGCUUAACACAUGCAAGUCGAGGGGCAGCAUAAUGGAUAGCAAUAUCUAUGGUGGCGACCGGCGCACGGGUGCGUAACGCGUAUGCAACCUACCUUUAACAGGGGGAUAACACUGAGAAAUUGGUACUAAUACCCCAUAAUAUCAUAGAAGGCAUCUUUUAUGGUUGAAAAUUCCGAUGGUUAGAGAUGGGCAUGCGUUGUAUUAGCUAGUUGGUGAGGUAACGGCUCACCAAGGCGACGAUCCAUAGCCGACCUGAGAGGGUGACCGGCCACAUUGGGACUGAGACACGGCCCAAACUCCUACGGGAGCAGCAGUGGGGAAUAUUGCACAAUGGAGGAAACUCUGAUGCAGCGACGCCGCGUGAGCGAAGAAGGUUCUAUGGAUCGUAAACCUCUUUUAUAAGGGAUAAAGUGUAGGACGUGUCCUAUUUGUAUGUACCUUAUGAAUAAGGAUCGG